rnacentral:rRNA from 1 species
AGCGAACGCUGGCGGCAGGCUUAACACAUGCAAGUCGAACGUGAAAGGGAGCAAUCCUAAGUAAAGUGGCGUACGGGUGAAUAACGCGUAGAUAAUCUGCCCCAAAGUUUGGAAUAACCUGCCGAAAGGCGGGCUAAUACUGGAUAGAGCGACGGAAUCCGUAAUUGGGUUUUUCGGGAAAGGGAGGGAGUAAUCCCCCUCGCUUUGGGAUGAGUCUGCGUCUCAUUAGCUAGUUGGUGGGGUAAAAGCCUACCAAGGCAUUGAUGAGUAGCUGGUCUGAGAGGAUGAUCAGCCACACUGGAACUGAAACACGGUCCAGACUCCUACGGGAGGCAGCAGUGGGGAAUCUUGCGCAAUGGACGAAAGUCUGACGUAGCCACGCCGCGUGAGUGAAGAAGGCCUUCGGGUUGUAAAGCUCUGUCGGGCGAGACGAAAAACUAUUGAGUGAACAGCUCAGUAGUCUGACGGUACCGCCAAAGGAAGCACCGGCUAACUCCGUGCCAGCCGCCGCAGUAAUAC